rnacentral:rRNA from 1 species
AUUGAACGCUGGCGGCAGGCCUAACACAUGCAAGUCGAACGAGUGGCGGACGGGUGAGUAAUGUCUGGGCAACUGCCUGAUGGAGGGGGAUAACUACUGGAAACGGUAGCUACUACCGCAUACCGCACGAUGUGCCCCGGUGGGAUUAGCUAGGUGGUGGGGUAACGGCUCCCCAAGGCGACGAUCCCUAGCUGGUCUAAGAGGAUGACCAGCCACACUGGAACUGAGACACGGUCCAGACUCCUACGGGAGGCAGCAGUGGGGAAUAUUGCACAAUGGGCGCAAGCCUGAUGCAGCCAUGCCGCGUGUAUGAAGAAGGCCUUCGGGUUGUAAAGUACUUUCAGCGGGGAGGCGUUACCCGCAGAAGAAGCACCGGCUAACUCCGUGCCAGCAGCCGCGGUAAUUC